rnacentral:rRNA from 1 species
AGGACGAACGCUGGCGGCGUGCUUAACACAUGCAAGUCGAGCGAGGCCCUGUCUUCGGACAGGUGCCCUAGCGGCGAACGGGUGAGUAACACGUGGGCAACCUGCCCCUAGCACUGGGAUAACUCCGGGAAACCGGGGCUAAUACCAGAUAUGACCUCCGAGGGCAUCCUCGUUGGUGUAAAGGAUUCUGGCUAGGGAUGGGCCCGCGGCCUAUCAGCUUGUUGGUGGGGUAACGGCCUACCAAGGCGACGACGGGUAGCCGGCCUGAGAGGGCGACCGGCCACACUGGGACUGAGACACGGCCCAGACUCCUACGGGAGGCAGCAGUGGGGAAUAUUGCACAAUGGGCGAAAGCCUGAUGCAGCGACGCCGCGUGAGGGAUGACGGCCUUCGGGUUGUAAACCUCUUUCAGCUCCGACGAAGCGAAAGUGACGGUAGGAGCAGAAGAAGCACCGGCCAACUACGUGCCAGCAGCCGCGGUAA